GACGAACGCUGGCGGCGUGCUUAACACAUGCAAGUCGAACGGAAAGGCCCUGCUUGCAGGGUACUCGAGUGGCGAACGGGUGAGUAACACGUGGGUGAUCUGCCCUGCACUUCGGGAUAAGCCUGGGAAACUGGGUCUAAUACCGGAUAGGAGCCAUUUUUAGUGUGAUGGUUGGAAAGUUUUUUCGGUGUAGGAUGAGCUCGCGGCCUAUCAGCUUGUUGGUGGGGUAAUGGCCUACCAAGGCGGCGACGGGUAGCCGGCCUGAGAGGGUGGACGGCCUCAUUGGGACUGAGAUACGGCCCAGACUCCUACGGGAGGCAGCAGUGGGGAAUAUUGCACAAUGGGCGCAAGCCUGAUGCAGCGACGCCGCGUGGGGGAUGACGGCCUUCGGGUUGUAAACUCCUUUCGCUAGGGACGAAGCUUUUUGUGACGGUACCUAGAUAAGAAGCACCGGCUAACUACGUG
rnacentral:rRNA from 1 species